rnacentral:tRNA from 1 species
GGGGUUGUGGCUCAUUGGUAGAGUGCUUGCCUAGCAUGCAGGAGGCACUGGGUUCCAUCCUCAGCACCA